UACGAAGGGGGCUAGCGUUGCUCGGAAUCACUGGGCGUAAAGCGCACGUAGGCGGACUCUUAAGUCGGGGGUGAAAUCCUGGAGCUCAACUCCAGAACUGCCUUUGAUACUGAAGAUCUUGAGUUCGGGAGAGGUGAGUGGAACUGCGAGUGUAGAGGUGAAAUUCGUAGAUAUUCGCAAGAACACCAGUGGCGAAGGCGGCUCACUGGCCCGAUACUGACGCUGAGGCACGAAAGCGUGGGGAGCAAACAGGA
rnacentral:rRNA from 1 species